UAUUUUCAACCCUUGAAAAAAAUUUCAAAAAAACAAAAGAAUAUGCUGUUCGUGAUUUCUUCGUCUGUGUCUCUUUGUCUCUCCCAAUCAAAGCUCGGUGUUCUCUUCGUGACUUCGUCUCUCUCGGUCACGGUGUAUUUCCUUCGUCUCUCAAUCGCAUUGAUAAGAAUUGAAAACUCAAAAAUCGAACGUCUCCUCUCAUCUCGACUCCAACACCGCUGAUUCCACUAGUUUGAUUACAGGUUGUUCUUGUUGCAGUUAUCCUUUGUUUUGAAAAACAAAAGAAGGGUAAAAGAGCAAAAACUGUGUCCAAAUUCAACAGCUAGUCCAUGUUUUGAAGAGAGAAUUAUUUCAAGAUUUGGCUCUAUUGUACAGGUAUGCUCUUUAUUAUUGUCAAUUUAUUCUCAUUGGUUUUAUGCUCAUGUUUUUUUCUUUGAAUGGUUAUGCAAUUUAACUGUUGUAUGCUGUAAUUAUAAACUUCUGUCUGCCUUUGGUUUCAUUUUUUGGAACAAGGAAUUAUUUCAAGAUUUGGCUCACGCAUAUACGACUUUAAAAAGAUUCUGUAGCACAUCUAGAUUUUGAACUAUCAAAGUAAUUCUUAAAGAAGGAUUAUUUAAAACUUAGGAUAGAAAAAUGCACAGAUCUUGAGUAUGUCUCUCCUUAAGGCUAGUUAUGCAAACAGGGAAAUCUGAAGAGAGAAUUUUAUUACAGUUCAUUAUGUCUCCAGCUAGCUGCACCCCAAAUAGGAGUUCAUUUGCAUUCCAAAUUUCAACUUUCAUCAAGUA